UACGUAGGGUGCAAGCGUUAUCCGGAAUUAUUGGGCGUAAAGAGCUCGUAGGCGGUUUUGUCGCGUCUGCUGUGAAAACUGGAGGCUCAACCUCCAGCCUGCAGUGGGUACGGGCAAACUAGAGUGCGGUAGGGGAGAUUGGAAUUCCUGGUGUAGCGGUGGAAUGCGCAGAUAUCAGGAGGAACACCGAUGCGAAGGCAGAUCUCUGGGCCGUAACUGACGCUGAGGAGCGAAAGCGUGGGGAGCGAACAGG
rnacentral:rRNA from 1 species